CACAGUUGCCCGCUGUCAUAAACUAAAGGAGAGGAAAACUCGCCCAAAGUUUGUCUUAGUUGUGUGUUGCUAUGGCGUGCAUGUACACACUCUCUAUUUGCAAAUUUCAUUACUAUAUAGCUCACGUCAUUCCAACAGCUGGUGGGGGGCACCUCUAUCAUGCACAGGAACUGGAGUCCUAUUACACCCCAAGACAAAGUUUGUCUUCAAUUGUUCUUCGCUAUGGCAUAAUGGGGGAGAGGAAUCAAAUGGAACAUAUUCAGGUUUAGAAUCAAGAAGCACAAGAGAUCGAGGGGAGUGAAUCGGAGACUUACCAGCAUGAAAAUAUUUCCUACUCAAUUUGACAGUUGUACUUAGGCUUGUGCAAAAUUCAGGGGUCGGGUUGGGAAGAUGGAAUUUUGGGCUACACGAGACCCCGAUGAGAGUUGGAUGACAGUAAGGCCUUACAGGUGUUGCUGGCGCCUGACUUGUUAUUGUGUUGAAUGAGAAGAAAGACAAAGGUGAAAGGGACUAUUUUUACUUACCUUUUUGCAUUUCGUUUUGUUUGAUUUGUCAUAUCUUUGGAUUUUGCUGCCAUAUUUGUUUCUUUUCAUCUUCUUCUAGAAUUUCAAAAUUUUACACAUUUGGAAGCCUCACUUUGUGGAUUCACGAGAAGAGGGAGUUGUUGUACCUUCUCAAUUACAUGAUUAAUAGAAUAUAUCUUUUUUAUA